rnacentral:rRNA from 1 species
GAUAAACGCUGGCGGCGUGCCUAACACAUGCAAGUCGAACGCGCUUUCUCGCAUGCUUCGUUAAGAAGCGAGCAAGAGAGCGAGUGGCGGACGGGUGAGUAACACAUGGGUCACCUACCUUUCAGUGAGGAAUACCGACGAGAAAUCGUCGACAAGACCGCAUAUGCUCUUUGCAAAGAGAGCAAAGUCCUUUCGCAAGAAGGGACGCUGGAAGAUGGGCCNGUGGCCGAUUAGCUAGUUGGUAGGGUAAUGGCCUACCAAGGCGACGAUCGGUAGCUGGUCUGAGAGGACGAUCAGCCACACUGGGAUUGAGAACGGCCCAGACUCCUACGGGAGGCAGCAGUGAGGAAUCUUGCG